rnacentral:rRNA from 1 species
AUGUCGCAGUCGACAGCGAGUUAUCUACACCUUCUCGGAACGUAACUGCGUCGAGCGGGGGACGGUUGAGUAAUGCCUACCGUAUUGCCCUGAUGUGGGGGAUAACCAUUGAAAACGAUGGCUAAUACCGCAUGAUGCCUACGGACCAAAGAGGGGGACCUUCGGGCCUCUCGCGUCAGGAUAUGCCUAAGUGGGAUUACCUUAUUGGUGAGGUAAGGGCUCACCAAGGCGACGAUCCCUAGCUGGUCUGAGAGGAUGAUCAGCCACACUGGAACUGAGACACGGUCCAGACUCCUACGGGAGGCAGCAGUGGGGAAUAUUGCACAAUGGGCGCAAGCCUGAUGCAGCCAUGCCGCGUGUAUGAAGAAGGCCUUCGGGUUGUAAAGUACUUUCAGUCGUGAGGAAGGUGGCGUCGUUAAUAGCGGCAUCAUUUGACGUUAGCGACAGAAGAAGCACCGGCUAACUCCGUGCCAGCAGCCGCGGUAAUACGGAGGGUGCGAGCGUUUAAUCGGAUUUACUGGGGCGUAAAGCGCAUGCAGGUGGUUUGUUAAGUCAGAUGUGAAACCCGGGGGCUCACCUCGAAUAGCAUUGAAACUGGGAAACUAGAGUACUGUAGAGGGGGGUAAGAAUUCAGGUGUACCGUUGAAUUGCUAAAAGACUGAAAGAAUACGGUGGCCAAAGCCGCCCCCCGGACAGAUACUGACACUCAAAUGCCAAAGCGUGGGGAGCAACAAGAAUAAAUACCUGGUAGUCCACGCCGUAAACAUGUUUCUUGAGGUUGGCCUGAACCCGGCUUUCGAACUACCGUUAAUAACCGCCGGGGGGUAGGCCCAAAUAAACUCAAUGAAUGAAGGGGCCCCCAACCGUGAACUGUGGUUAUUCAUCACCCAAACCUACUCUCUGACUCAGAGACUUCAGAGUGAUGUGCUCGGACUCGAACAGUGCUGCUG